AGGCCAUGAUGGGGGCACUGUCUCAGCUUGCUCUUGAAUCUAUCCCAGACUUCAAAUAAUGAUUCUGAGUCUAUCUGUUUGAAACUUGCGAUCAAGUUUCUCAUGU